rnacentral:rRNA from 1 species
GGCGUGCUUAACACAUGCAAGUCGAACGAUGAAGCCUAGCUUGCUAGGUGGAUUAGUAGCGCACGGGUGAGUAAUAUAUAGAUAAUGUGCCUCUUAGUCUGGGAUAGCCAUUGGAAACGAUGAUUAAUACUAGAUACUCCUUCUGAUUAUAAUUUCAGUCGGGAAAGUUUUUCGCUAAGAGAUCAGUCUAUAUCCCAUCAGUUAGUUGGUAGGGUAAUGGCCUACCAAGGCAAUGACGGGUAGCGGGUUUGAGAGGAUGAUCCGCCACACUGGUACUGAGACACGGACCAGACUCCUACGGGAGGCAGCAGUGAGGAAUAUUGCACAAUGGAGGAAACUCUGAUGCAGCAACGCCGCGUGGAGGAUGACGCAUUUCGGUGUGUAAACUCCUUUUAUAUGUCAAGAAAAUGACGGUAGCAUAUGAAUAAGCACCGGCUAACUCCGUGCCAGCAGCCGCGGUAAUACGGAGGGUGCAAGCGUUAUUCGGAAUCACUGGGCGUAAAGGACGCGUAGGCUGGAAGCCAAGUCUGAUGUGAAAUCCUAUGGCUCAACCAUAGAACUGCAUUGGAAACUGGUUACCUAGAGUAUGGGAGGGGGGAGAUG